ensembl:lncRNA
CUCACCUUCUGAAAGCUCCAUUAGGAUGGAUUAACAGACUCUUUUUCUCUGUCCUGGCCGAUAAAUAUUCGGGGCUGUUGACCUGUUGGCUUGUAGCUGCGCUAAAGCGGUGCUAACAGGGUGGGAAAGUAUAUGCUUCACUAGACUCGUUCGCGGUCAUGGCUCAAAACGAGAGAAAGGUUAGCACCUUGGGGGGUGUCCGCACACCCACAUGGAUUUUCCGUGUCUUUUUCUUAGCGACAGACCGGGGUGAUAGAUGGAAAGGACAUAUUCCUAUCGUUAAAAGACAUUGCAUUUCUCCGCGACAGACCGGGCGAGAGAAAACAAGAGAUCCCCUUUCGUUAAAGGAUAUAGGUCCUGGUUAGCCCUGACCUGCAUCCGUUUCCAAUUCCCCCUACGCCAUGACAUUCUUGCACGCUCCAUCAAAGCUCCGUAACUUUUCCCUCCAUGGGUAGAUAAUCUGUCCGGCAUAUAGGUCCUAAUUAAUAAGAUGGGUAGAAAAUGAAUCUGUUUAAGUCAUAACUAAAGGCCUUUCAUAAAGAGGCUGUCAUGAUUGACUGUGACACAUAUUUAACACGUAUUGCUUGUUAACGAAGACUACUGUUGUACAUUGAAUAUCCACUAGCAGAUUGUUGUUGCAUCUCCACUAUAUCUGUCAUGUUACUGUGGUCUUUUUAAAAGUCAAUAAACAUGUGUGUAGAUUAUACACUUUUGAUCCCCCCGGUGUACAUGCACCGAACAUCCAUAGGCUGGAGCCACCUGAAGCUCGGCGCAUGUACAUAUAAAGACAACUAAAUAGGUAACUCAACAGUGUGUUGGGCCGAGAAACAUUAUUUAGAUGGCUGUUUUAUUGUUGUUGAAAGCUUGAAAUGUACACAAUGCGAAGGGCCCUUGUUUCUAACACCCCAUUCUGAGACAUACACACACAAUCACCCUCCCAGACAUUCCUGCUUCAUAGAUAACAAUCAUAAGGGCAAUAAAAUAGGGGGUGUGGGGCCAUUCUCUUUCAAAUGUUCAAACACAGACCCCCCCAGUUCAACCAGGUGCCUACACAUCAAUCAUUAUGACUACUUCAAAGGAAUAAAUACAAUAUAUGCAUAAAUUAGCACACCAUCUAAGGCGUGAGAACAGGAACAGGAUGUCCUGACCGGAUGCCCAAAUAUGGGCACUCCCUAGAGCACGUGAUCACAUACAUAAUUUCACACUCCCUUUAAGGCGUGAGAACAGGAACCGGAUGUCCUGACCGGAUGCCCAAAUAUGGGCGUGCACACGUCAUCCUGACAUAGGGUCAUAAAUCAUAGGUUUGACUUGUGCCGUCUACUUUAUUCUUUCUAACCUGAUACCUCUGGGGACUCAUUCUUCUGGUGUGUCUGUUCGUCCUCCCAAUGGCAAAUGUACAAAAAAACAACGCUGCCUGUUAAAUCAAAAUAACAAAUACAAUUAGAAUUACAACCCUUGAUGACUCCAUCUUAACUUCACUGUAUCCCAUAAGGUAAUUCAAUAAAUAGUCAAAUAGACUAGAGACAGGUGUCCCUCAGUCAGGGCCAGCACUCGCUCUCUGUCCUUCUCGUGGUUCAAAUUACACAUAGGACUAUUGCUAAAUUAUAAACUUCUUCUAAUUAUUAGUGUUUACAUAGCCCAUUUAAAUCUCAACCAAUGUCUCUAGUCUUUUUAGUGAGGGUGAUCAGUCCUCUCCAGAAAGUCAAAAAUUAUUUAACGAUAUUUCAAAAAUGUCAAACAUUUUGUGUAUCAGGUUUACAUUGGGUUUUAAAUGACAUUUCUUAUCAAGAGAAUUUGCAUGUGUGCAACCAAAACUCGGACAAUAGAUACUUCAGAACAUUUCAU